rnacentral:rRNA from 1 species
UACGUAGGGUGCAAGCGUUAAUCGGAAUUACUGGGCGUAAAGCGUGCGCAGGCGGUUAUGUAAGACAGUUGUGAAAUCCCCGGGCUCAACCUGGGAACUGCAUCUGUGACUGCAUAGCUAGAGUACGGUAGAGGGGGAUGGAAUUCCGCGUGUAGCAGUGAAAUGCGUAGAUAUGCGGAGGAACACCGAUGGCGAAGGCAGCCUCCUGGGAUAACACUGACGCUCAUGCACGAAAGCGUGGGGAGCAAACAGG